rnacentral:piRNA from 1 species
UAUUAAAAGGAGUCCCUUUAGGCAAAGU